rnacentral:pre_miRNA from 13 species
UGCUCGCUCUCCCUCAGGGCUUCCAACGCAGUAAGCAGGUACGUGCAUGUCAGCAUAUUCUCGCUGCAGGCUCGAGGUCUUUGGUGAGAGUAGUGAUCAA